rnacentral:siRNA from 1 species
ACUCCACCCAUGUCGUGCAAACCA